UGGGGAAUAUUGGACAAUGGGCGAAAGCCUGAUCCAGCCAUGCCGCGUGUGUGAAGAAGGUCUUCGGAUUGUACAGCACUUUAAGUUGGGAGGAAGGGCAGUAAGCGAAUACCUUGCUGUUUUGACGUUACCGACAGAAUAAGCACCGGCUAACUCUGUGCCAGCAGCCGCGGUAAUACAGAGGGUGCAAGCGUUAAUCGGAAUUACUGGGCGUAAAGCGCGCGUAGGUGGUUCGUUAAGUUGAAUGUGAAAGCCCCGGGCUCAACCUGGGAACUGCAUCCAAAACUGGCGAGCUAGAGUAGGGCAGAGGGUGGUGGAAUAUCCUGUGUAGCGGUGAAAUGCGUAGAUAUAGGAAGGAACACCAGUGGCGAAGGCGACCACCUGGGCUCAUACUGACACUGAGGUGCGAAAGCGUGGGGAGCAAACAGG
rnacentral:rRNA from 1 species